GGUGAACGCUGGCGGUAGGCCUAACACAUGCAAGUCGAACGGCAACACAGUAAGAUCUUGCUCUUACGGGUGGCGGGUGGCGGACGGGUGAGGAAUGCGUCGUAAUCUACUUUUUCGGGGAGGAUAACGUAAGGAAACUUACGCUAAUACCGCAUACGACUUACGAUUGAAAGCAGGAGAGAUUCUUACCUUUCGAGUUUGAAUGAGCCGUUGCAGGUUUAGCUAGUUGGCGGGGUAAAGGACGACCCAGGCGAGUAUCCGUAGCUAGUCGGAGAGGGGGAGCAGCCAUAAGGGAACUGAGAGCCGGUCUAGACUCCUACGGGAGGCCGCAGUGGGGAAUAUUGGACAAUGGGCGCAAGUCUGAUCAAGACAUACAGCGUGGUUGAAGAAGGCCUUGGGGUUGUAAAGCCCUUUUGUUGGGAAAGAAAAGCAGCAGAUUAAUACACCGCUGUUGUGACGGUACCCAAAGAAUAAGCACCGGCUAACUUCGUG
rnacentral:rRNA from 1 species